UACGUAGGUGGCAAGCGUUGUCCGGAAUUAUUGGGCGUAAAGCGCGCGCAGGUGGUUCUUUUAAGUCUGAUGUGAAAGCCCACGGCUCAACCGUGGAGGGUCAUUGGAAACUGGGGGAACUUGAGUGCAGAAGAGGAAAGUGGAAUUCCAAGUGUAGCGGUGAAAUGCGUAGAGAUUUGGAGGAACACCAGUGGCGAAGGCGACUUUCUGGUCUGUAACUGACACUGAGGCGCGAAAGCGUGGGGAGCAAACAGG
rnacentral:rRNA from 1 species